GAGGGUAUAGUUCAGUGGUAGAGUGCAUGCUUAGCAUGCAGGAGGUCCUGGGUUCAAUCCCCAGCACCGCCA
rnacentral:tRNA from 1 species